CAAUAGCGUAUAUUAAAGUUGUUGCAGUUAAAAAGCUCGUAGUUGAACUUGUGCGUGCCCCUGAUGUCCUUUUUGGUACGUUUGGGGGCGUGCAUCCUUGGGUGGAACCUGUGUGGCAUUAGGUUGUCGUGCAGGGGAUGCUCAUCGUUUACUGUGAAAAAAUUAGAGUGUUCAAAGCAGGCUUAUGCCGUUGAAUAUAUUAGCAUGGAAUAAUAAGAUAGGACCUUGGUACUAUUUUGUUGGUUUGCGCACCGAGGUAAUGAUUAACAGGGACAGUUGGGGGUAUUCGUAUUCCAUUGUCAGAGGUGAAAUUCUUGGAUUUCUGGAAGACGAACUACUGCGAAAGCAUUUACCAAGGAUGUUUUCAUUAA
rnacentral:rRNA from 1 species